UACGAGGGGUCCUAGCGUUGUUCGGAAUCACUGGGCGUAAAGCGUAUGUAGGCGGAUUUCUAAGUCAGGUGUGAAAUCCCACGGCUCAACCGUGGAAUUGCAUUUGAAACUGGAGAUCUUGAGUGUGGGAGAGAUUGGUAGAAUACCUGGUGUAGUGGUGAAAUACGUAGAUAUCAGGUGGAAUACCGGUGGCGAAGGCGGCCAAUUGGCCCAACACUGACGCUGAGAUACGAAAGCGUGGGGAUCAAACAGG
rnacentral:rRNA from 1 species